CAUGUGUGUGUGUGUUUUUCUUCCUUGGAUGUCUCUUAACCUUCCAUCACAGUAUCACUCUAGAGACACAGAGAAAUCGACCACCAGCCCCGAUGACCAACAAAAACAUUAGACACACGGCCAUGUCCUAUUUCUUUCUAUUCCACAGUUUCCAUAUGAAUCCUCCAGCUCAACAUGAAAGAAUGCAGGUCUCCAUGUAGGAGUGCAGGUCUCCAUGUAAGAGUGCGGGUCUCCAUGUAAGAGUGCAGGUCUCCAUGUAAGAGUUUGUAAGAGUGCGUAAGAGUGCAGGUCUCUAUGUAAGAGUGCGGGUCUCCAUGUAAGAGUGCGGGUCUCUGUGUAAGAGUGCGGGUCUCCAUGUAAGAGUGCGGGUCUCUAUGUAAGAGUGUGUAAGAGUGCGGGUCUCUAUGUAAGAGUGCGGGUCUCCAUGUAAGAGUGCGGGUCUCUGUGUAAGAGUGCGGGUCUCCAUGUAAGAGUGCGGGUCUCUAUGUAAGAGUGUGUAAGAGUGCGGGUCUCCAUGUAAGAGUGCGAGUCUCUAUGUAAGAGUGUGUAAGAGUGCGUAAGAGUGCGGGUCUCUGUGUAAGAGUGCGGUUCUCUGUGUAAGAGUGCGAGUCUCUGUGUAAGAGUGUGUAAGAGUGCGGGUCUCCAUGUAAGAGUGUGUAAGAGUGCAGGUCUCUAUGUAAGAGUGUGUAAGAGAGUGCAGGUCUCUAUGUAAGAGUGCGGGUCUCUAUGUAAGAGUUGCGGGUCUCUGUGUAAGAGUGCGGGUCUCCAUGUAAGAGUGUGUAAGAGUGCGGGUCUCUAUGUAAGAGUGUGUAAGAGUGCAGGUGUCCGUGUAAGAGUGCGGGUCUCUGUAUAAGAGUGCGGGUCUCUAUGUAAGAGUGCGGGUCUCCAUGUAAGAGUGUGUAAGAGUGCGGGUCUCCAUGCAAGAGUGUGUAAGAGUGCGGGUCUCCAUGUAAGAGUGCAGGUCUCCAUGUAAGAGUGCGGGUCUCCAUGUAAGAGUGCAGGUCUCCAUGUAAGAGUGCGGGUCUCCAUGUAAGAGUGCGGGUAUCUGUGUAAGAGUGCGGUCUCCAUGUAAGAGUGCAGGUCUCCAUGUAAGAGUGCGGGUCUCUGUGUAAGUAGAACGGAGAGCAGAGAGGAGCCAUAAUGGAGGUGUGAAGCACAGAGUGAAAUGUGUGAACAGAAUGGGAUUAUGUGGAAGAGUCUUGCUAGGCACCACAGGGGCAGAGCAUCCCUGGGGAAGAGCACAUUACCUCAAUCAUUAUGAAGACGACUCAUACACACACACACUCUCAAUCGGACACACAGUCAUUAUGAAGACGACUCACACAC